rnacentral:rRNA from 1 species
UAAAGAGUAACGGAGGCGCGCGAUGGUUGGCUCAGACCGGUCGGAAAUCGGUCGUCGAGUGCAAUGGCAUAAGCCCGCCUGACUGCGAGACCGACAGGUCGAGCAGAGACGAAAGUCGGCCAUAGUGAUCCGGUGGUCCCGCGUGGAAGGGCCAUCGCUCAACGGAUAAAAGGUACGCCGGGGAUAACAGGCUGAUACUGCCCAAGAGUCCAUAUCGACGG